GAGAGGAGAGAAUUAAAAAUUGGAAUCUGGAAGAAAAGAUAAAUUUCAUUUUUUAGAAGAGGCCUUGUCUUUGUUAUCUUUCAGUUAACACAUUUAGAAGAAAAUUUAUUUCUUUUCUAAUAACUUACUCUAUCAGGACUAAUGCAGUCAGCUCUGAUACUAAAUUGAUGGUUGAGUUUUAAACAAUAUAUCAUUUUCCUUUGUUGGAACAGGUUUCCUUAUUUAGAGGGAGAGGGAGAAGGCAAGAGAGAUGACUGAAUGAAGUCUUGAAGCUGACUACAUUGUCCUUCGCUGUCUGUCUCUUACCAAAAUCUAUCAGGCAGCAUUUGAUCAUUUUGUGAAUUAUUCUCUGUGUACGCCCUUGCAUUUUCUUCUUUCUCCUAACAUUCGUAUUCCAAGAGAAGUUAAAAUGAAAAAUGAACGAGCCUAUAUUCUCUAAUCCAUGGGAUCUGUGAUCAGACCUGUGAAAACCUAAGAAAAGCCCCUCUUCAGCAUGCACAACAGAAGAAGCCUGCACUAUCACAGAAAGAGUUUGUAUAGAGAUAAGCUAUGACCUGGGCAGCCAACUCCAAGAUCCCAGAGCUCACUGUCUUUGUUUCCAAGAGCCAAGCCUUAAAGUAUGUGAGCCAGUAGUUGUGCAAUUGCCAGCUGCCAGUCAGCAGUUCUUUGCUUGAACCAGAUUGUAGUCCAGUACUUCAAGUGGAGAGUCUAUGAACCAGUCAGCAGGAGAAUUUUCUCCUGCUCACAGAGCAUGUUGCUAUACCUUCUGGAACCAGGAGGAGAGAAUCAAGUGAACGAUGUGACCAUUACCUACUGAACUGCAAUGGGGAAUUCAUAGAGGUCACAGGAAAUCAGUAAUUGGCCUUAAACUAGUAUUUUACCAUCAUUUCUAUUCUGUCCAGUUUCUCCCCACACUGCUUCAUUACUUCAAGGUAUGUCUUUUCUUGUGUCAUAAGUAUAAUUUAGCCUAUCAUUUCUUAAUUAAAAUGGGGGAGUUCCUAUCUCGGAUUCGCCAACCACUGAGCCAUGACAGGAACUCCCGCCUACUGUUUUUUCUAAACAAAAAUAUCUCUUUCUUCUUCUUCAUCUCAUGUAUUAGAUUAUUAUAGAUAUCUCUUCUUUCUGUUUCCCUGAUUCUAGAUUUUCUCAUCCUCCUAUAAUCUCCAACAAGAUAGAAGAGUAAUUUGUUUUAGAUAAUAAAGCAGGGCUAUGAGAGAAGAAAAAAAAUAAUUUGAUCCUAUGUUCUAGUAUAAGAUGUACAGUGCCCCAAACAAGGGCAGUGAAUGUCACUUUUCUUCUUUGUCCUGAUCAGAGCAUACCUAGAGUAGCAAUUCAAUUCUGGGCACAUUUAAAGGACAGCAAUAAACUGAAGAAGAUCCAUUACAGAGUGAUCCAGAUGGUUAAGGGCCUGGAGGGCAUGGGAGGUAAGGGACAGAUUAAAAAUCCUGGAAGAGGUUAUUUGAAAAUAAAGAAGCUAAAGGAAGACAUGACAAACUAAGAUUUAAAGGAAUGUUAAGUAGUAGGUGGAUUAAGGUUUUUUGUUUGGUUGUUUUUUUGUUUGGUUUUUUUGUUUUUCGUCACUUGCAAGAAUAAAAUUUGAACCACUGACUGGAGACUAAAGUUAGUUGGAUUUCAGAUCCAUCUUAGGAAGAAUUUUUUAAUGUUUGAUCUCUGUAAAAAGGGGUGAGCACCUUUGUGCAGUAGUGACUUUCCUGUAUAAGAAGCUAGUGCUAGUACUUAUUCCAGAUUUUGUAGGAUCAAUUCAGGUAUAGAAAAAGGAAAUAGACCACAUGACCUCUUGGAAUAUCUGCAGUGCUAAAUGGCUAUGAUUCUUCAGUAUUUGAGCCUUAUUAUCCACCAUUUUCUUUUUUUACAUUUUUUUUUGUUUGUCUUUUAAAACAGCUUUAUUGAAGUGUAAUUUACAUAUAAAAAUCACUUAAUUUAAAUGGACAUUUUAAGACUUUUUUAGGCCAGGUUUAGGUUGACAACAAAAUUUAGAGAACUAGAGAUUUUCCAUGUGUCCCCUGUCCCCACGCAUGCAUGGUCUCUGCCAUUAUCAACAUUCCCUACUAGGGUGGUACAUUUGUUACAGCUGAUGGAGAGCUACAUUGACACAUAAUCACCUGAAGUCCUCUAUUCUCUGCCUAUCCAUUCUCCUCUGCCAACCCUGGCAACCACUGAUCUUUUUCCUGUCUCCAUAGUUUUUUCUUUGCCAGAAAGCAAUAUGGUUGGAAUCAUACAGUAUGUAACCUUUUCAGAUUGGCUUCUUUCACUUAGUAAUAAUCAUUUAAGGUUCUUCCAUGUCUUUUCAUGGCUUGAUAGUUCAUUUCCUUUUAAUGCUGAAUGGUGUUCCAUUAUCUCAAUGUACCCCAGUUAAUUUAUCCCCUCACUGACUAAAGGACAUCUUGGUUGCUAUUUAUCACUUUCUUAGUGAACCCUUCUUGCUUUAAUUCACUCAGUUCUCCUCACCUACCAUGGUUUAUUCUGAUCCCAUACCACUGCACAUACUUACCCACUCCUGAAAUUUAUUCCCAUCAACUCCCCCAAAGUCAGUUCAAAGAGUCAUCUAAUUACAUUCACUUCUCUGGUUGCUUUGCAGAUGAAUUAAUUAGGAUUUAAGCUCAGUGUCUGUAAAUACCAGGAAAAAAGAAAAACAAACAGACAAACAAAAAACAGUGGUAGAAUGUAAUAGAAGGUCAUUUCUUCCUUAGGUAACAGCCCAGAAGUAGGCAGUCUUGACAGUGGUUUUGCUUAUGUUUGAUAAGUGGCUUCCAUCUCUCUGGCCCAGGCAGUGUUUCCCCUUCUCACCUUCUUGCUGCAGCAGGCUCUUGGAAAGGUGCCAAGGCAGUGCAUGCUCAAUAAUUUAAACUGCAAAUGUGGAAACGGAAUAUAUCACCCUCGUUCACAUUGCAUUAACCAGAAUUUUACCUCAUGGUUAUACUGACUGUAAGGUAGACUAGGGAAUAGAGUCUUCCUUGAGUGGCCAGGGACCAGCUAAAACUCGAUCAUAGAUGAAAAGGGGAAUGGAUGUCAGAGAAUAUCCCUCUAUUGACCAGGGCUACCCCUCAGAAUUGCUUAUUUGGGGGUUCGUUGCCUUAUUUUUUUUCUCUUUUGUGACAGUAAAUUUUGCUUUUCAGAAAACAAUUUUAUUUUGAAUCAUAAUUUGCUAUUAAUUCCAUUAAAAGCUUAGGGAUAAGUUCUUAUGUUUAAAAUUUUGAACCCUUGAUCUAUCACUGAUUUUAGUAUUGUCUUUUUUCAGUGUGAACUUUCUGUGCUUUACAGUUAAUGUACCAUGAUUUUUCUAAAGAGAGAAUUGGUAAUAGACAGUGAACCUUCAGAGUCUUUGAAUAUAGUUUAAAAACAUAUUGCAGCACUAUUCACAAUAGCCAAGACAUCAAAACAACCCAAAUGUGCAUUAACAGCUGAUUGGAUUAGGAAGAUAUGGUAUAUAUACACAAUGGAAUACUACUCAGCUAUUCAAAGAAUGAAAUAAUGCCAUUUGCAGCAACAUGGAUGCAACUAGAGACUCUCAAAAUGAGUGAAGUAAGUCAGAAAGAGAAAGACAAAUACCAUAGGAUAUCACUUAUAUCUGGAAACUAAUAUAUGGCACAAAUGAACCUUUCCACAGAAAAGAAAAUCAUGGACUUAGAGAAUAGACUUGUGGUUGCCAAGGGGAAGGGGAGGGAGUGGGAUGUAUGGGAAGCUUGGGAUUAACAGAUACAGACUAUUGCCUUUGGAAUGCAUUAGCAAUGAGAUCCUGCUGUGUACCACUGGGAAAUAUGUCUAGUCACUUAUGAUGGAGCAUGAUAAUGAGAGAAAAAAGAAUAUAUACAUAUAUGUGUAACUGGGUCACCCUGCUGUACAGUAGAAAAUUGACAGAACACUAUAA
rnacentral:lncRNA from 1 species